CUGAGGCUGUGUCACUGGCAUGUUUACUCAGCCUUUGCAAAAUAAACUUUCUAAAUUAAAUAAGAUCUGUCUCUGUUUUUUGAGGUUCACAAUUAAUAGUCAAUGACGUGAGGGAUAAGCCCUCCUCCUCUCCUGGUUGUGGACCAGUAGUCAGUGAGAGAUAGGCCUACCUCCUUUCCAAUUGUGGACCAGUAGUCAAUGGCAUGAGAGAUAAGCCCUCCUCCUCUCUCGGUUAUGGACCAAUAGUCAAUGGCAUGGGAGAUAAGCCCUCCUCCUCUCCAAUUGUGGACCAAUAGUCAAUAACAUGAGGGAUAAGCCCGCCUCCUCUCCCAGUUGUGGACCAAUAGUCACUAACAUGAGGGAUAAGCCCGCCUCCUCUCCCAGUUGUGGACCAAUAGUCACUAACAUGAGGGAUAAGCCCGCCUCCUCUCCCAGUUGUGGACCAAUAGUCAAUAACAUGAGGGAUAAGCCCGCCUCCUCUCCCAGUUGUGGACCAAUAGUCACUAACAUGAGGGAUAAGCCCGCCUCCUCUCCCAGUUGUGGACCUUUCCCUCUUUAUUAUCUUGCACCCAACUCAGACCAGAAGGUGCCCGAAGACCCCCUGACCCUUCCAUCCUCCGUGUUCGAUACACCUCUCCUGAAAAGAACACGGCCUCACCUAAUCGGAUGUGCUGGUUUUGUGUGGACAGUGUUGAAGUCCUGUUAAGCUUCCCAAACUUUAUCUAUAUACCCAAAACCUCUCCACUUUGGAGCAUCAACUUCCAUUCUUUGGAAUCUGUGUAUUAAGGUGGCCUUUCUCAAUCAUUGUGUGCAAAUAAACUAUACUUAACCAUA